rnacentral:lncRNA from 1 species
CCGGGUUGCUGUGGGGGGCGAUCCGCAGCCGCCGAGGCGCAGGCUGCGGGGGAGGGGCGGGGGCUCCGUCCCAGGCGCUCGGGUGGGAGCCUGGACGCGGGCGGGAGGAUGUCUGACUCAGAGCUGCAUCCUCUGAGGCAGACACACUUCACGUCGGUCCGCUCCUCCCGCCCUCCCCGACUUCCUCCUCACGUCCAGCAUUACUCUCAAUACACCUUUUUAAAUCUCAACCCGAGGAGUGAAUUUUCGCGACAAGGGAACGAGAGGAGCAGUGAAUGAGUCUGGUUUCCCCUCUAGGGAAUGGCACUUACAGGGAGAGCAGAUAGCGUUUCCAGCUGACUCACCUGCGUCUGACUCACCCCAGGCAGUGGAGCGCUGCUCUUCGGAUACAGCCCCGAGUCCCCCGUGAGGUAAAGGCAGCAAGUUUGGGAAGCUGCAGACAGACACAAGGAUGCAAGUGCCAUUGCCCUAGAUAGAGCUGCCCUGCCCACAGAUAAAUGAGUGGUCCUGCUGCGUCUAGGCAGCGUUAGGCACGUUCAGCACGUCCUGCAGAGGUGGUCAGGGUCGCCCACUGUGGUCUAUGUGGAUCAAACGUACUGAUCACACAGAGAUGAACAUUACGGCAUAGGUCCUUCAAGCCUGAUGCAGCUGGGGGCUUUGGGCUUGCGGUGCAAGCGCAGGUAAGGCGUCCGGAGUGUGCCCGGUG